AACGAGUAAAGCCAAACUUAUCGUGAGAUAAGGACGGAAAGCUCCAGAUCUCAUCACUAUGAGAUGGCUGAGCCGCCUCU
rnacentral:ncRNA from 1 species